rnacentral:rRNA from 1 species
UACAGAGGGUGCGAGCGUUGUCCGGAAUCACUGGGCGUAAAGGGCGCGUAGGCGGCUUUUCAAGCGUGCGGUGAAAGCUCGGGGCUUAACUCCGAGUCUGCCGUGCGAACUGGGAGGCUUGAGUCUGGUAGAGGUCGAUGGAAUUCCGGGUGUAGCGGUGGAAUGCGUAGAGAUCCGGAAGAACACCGGUGGCGAAGGCGGUCGACUGGGCCAGUACUGACGCUGAGGUGCGAAAGCGUGGGGAGCAAACAGG